AGGAAAGACUUAAAAAUAUAUUAAAUGAUGAAGACCUGAAUGAUCUUAUUAUGUUUUGGAGGUCUCCUGAAUGUCAAGCUCGCACUGAAAGAGGAAAAGCAAAUCGUGCGAAGUUGAGGGUUCAUCAUACAUCUGGAAGCAUUAGCCAUGCUUGUCGUAGUUAUAAUUUGGGUAAAGCACUUGGACGUCCCU